rnacentral:rRNA from 1 species
AUUGAACGCUGGCGGCAGGCCUAACACAUGCAAGUCGAACGGUAACAGGAAGAAGCUUGCUUCUUUGCUGACGAGUGGCGGACGGGUGAGUAAUGUCUGGGAAACUGCCUGAUGGAGGGGGAUAACUACUGGAAACGGUAGCUAAUACCGCAUAACGUCGCAAGACCAAAGAGGGGGACCUUCGGGCCUCUUGCCAUCGGAUGUGCCCAGAUGGGAUUAGCUAGUAGGUGGGGUAACGGCUCACCUAGGCGACGAUCCCUAGCUGGUCUGAGAGGAUGACCAGCCACACUGGAACUGAGACACGGUCCAGACUCCUACGGGAGGCAGCAGUGGGGAAUAUUGCACAAUGGGCGCAAGCCUGCUGCAGCCAUGCCGCGUGUAUGAAGAAGGCCUUCGGGUUGUAAAGUACUUUCAGCGGGGAGGAAGGGAGUAAAGUUAAUACCUUUGCUCAUUGACGUUACCCGCAGAAGAAGCACCGGCUAACUCCGU